ACAGUGGGAAACUCUUUGUGUGAGUGUGGGUGUGAAUGGCCGGUAACCAAUCACUUCCAGUUGUGAUCAUGGCCUCAAGAAACUUCAGGCAGGCACAGCUGUCAUUAAUCUACAAUCAGCGCAGUAUUCUUCACAUGGUUGACCUGGACAUGUGAGAACCAGCUGGAAAGCCUGCCCGCAACUUGCUCGCUCACCUUCUUUGCCCACUCUCACCCCACAUGCUGGAACGCUUACCUGCCUCACACAGCCAAGUGCUGCCACCAUUAAUCCUGUGGAGAGAAGGAGAAAGUGUUUGGUCUGGAAACUGGGCAAUUUAGAAGUGGUUUCCAGAAGGAGCAGAUCGGAUUCUUUGUGAGCGGGAAAACAGAAUCUUGUACUUGUUGUAUACAGACUUAUAGGAAAGGACAGGGAGCUUUAGUCGGCCUUCCCGAGCAGCCGUGACUAAACUGGAAAAGAAACAGUGGAGGAAGACAAAAUGCUCCCUCCCACCUCCGUAACCCGCUGUUCAGCCGAAAGAGAUCCUGAGUCAUUAGUGGUUCGCCUCCAAUGAUAAUUCAGUUCAGUUCAGCCAGAUAAUUUUGAUUUAGAUGAAAGCAAUGAGCUGACAGAGGGCUCCUUUUUCCCCCCUGGUCUUGUAUGUGUUCAAAAGGAAAAGAAAGCAAAAGAAAUGAACCUCUAAGAUGAUGGUGAUGCAAAGGAUCGGGUAAUUGUUGGAGCCGUGUGGAGCUGCUGAUGACAAAGGAAAUGAAAAUACAGGAGUUGUUUUCACACUGUAGACUGUACAUAAAAGAUGGAUGCAACCACUCUAACAUCACCCAGUGGAUUCUGUCAGUAGUUGCUGAUUGCUUAAAAUCGGUUAACAGCAUUGCACUUUAUGGAUACAGAUUGUUAACUAAUCUUGCUAGUGUUAGCACUUCCAUCGAGGACUGUAUAUUAAAGAUGGACAUACCCACUAUGACAUCACCUGUUGGUUUCUUGAAAGGCCCAGUGUCAGCAUUUUGGUUGUCAAAAGCCAGAAGUAACAAUGUAGAGGCUGAAAUGGUCCAUCAAUAAAUCCAAAAAUAUUUCCUAAUUAGCGCUAAAUAACAGAUAAAAACUAUAUUUAAUAAGACAGCAGUCGGAAUUUCCAAGUUCCCAGUCAGUCAGUUUAAUCUGGAACAACCCAUCAACUCAAAUUUCCCUCUCAGAAAAUCAGAGCAGCACCAGCAACUCCCGAGUUAACAUGCCGUCCAUGAUGACUACUGCACUGAAUGUAAACAGUAGUAAAACUGUAAAACCUUUUAUCUGUACUGCCACUGUUGUGUAUUUGUGACUCACUAAAUAAGCCAUACACAAAGCACCAGGCUAUGCUGCAGCUGUGUUUUUAA